rnacentral:rRNA from 1 species
CGGACGGGUGAGUAACGCGUGGAAAACCUGCCGUAUACUGGGGGAUAACACUUAGAAAUAGGUGCUAAUACCGCAUAAGCGCACAGCUUCGCAUGAAGCGGUGUGAAAAACUCUGGUGGUAUACGAUGGUUCUGCGUCUGAUUAGCUAGUUGGUGGGGUAAUGGCCUACCAAGGCAACGAUCAGUAGCCGGCCUGAGAGGGUGAACGGCCACAUUGGGACUGAGACACGGCCCAAACUCCUACGGAAGGCAGCAG